AUGCAGUGGGAGGAGCUGGACCCGGGGACCUUCUCCACCACCUUCCAUACUUUUUACCAUUAAAGGCAGUAUAUUCCACUUUUGGAGCCAGAGUUUUCCCCAGCCCGGAAAAUGGGUUUGUCACUAACAAAGCCUAUGUGAGAUCUCACGUAGUAGCAAGCAUGGAAGAAAUUGGGCUGCAGGCUUGGGGAAAAAAAUCAGGCCGUGCAUUCAGGCCAAACUAGGCUGAGGGCACAGGCUGAAGCCAGACUGUGACCCUGAAAGAAGACAGUCCACACACUGCAACAAGCUGAGCUACAAGCAUGGAGGAGGCUGAGCAGAAGGAAUGGAGGAAACCCAGCACUGACUUCAGAUCCUACUGGACUACCAACAUGUCAGGGGCCAGACAUCAGGGCUUGGAGAAAUCAAAUUUGGGGCAUGGAAGGAACUCUUGGGGAAUCCUGAGUGAAAUCAGGCCCGAAGAGUAUCUCAAGACUGUGCCAAAGCUUAUUAGCAAUGCUGGGCAUGGAAGAAUUCGAGUUUUAGAAGAAAAGAAAGUCGGCGGUAUGCUGUCAGAUUUCCAGAGGUUCCUUAAUCCAACGCUCCUAGUCCACCUCGAGCCUCCAGACCCAAAAUUGCUUGUCCAGAGGGAGGCUGAGGGGAAGCUAGAUCCAUAAAUGAAAGCCCUAUGCAGGGAGGCUGAAGCCGUAUGUAAACCUUGAUGUCCAAGUGUCAUCACUGUCAACGAAGAGUUAGAAGGUUUGAGCUGGAAGGGUAAAGACAGACAGACGCAGACCCAGAGAUGGAGACAGAGUGAGAGAGACAGACAGAAAGAGAGAGAAAAAGAGAGAGACAGGGAGAGCAACAGACCCAGAGAUGGAGACACAGAGAGACAGGAAGGGAAGGAGGGAGGAAGGGAGAGAGGAAGAGAGAGAGAGAGACAGAGAGAGGGAGAAGGAAGCUAACUAAUGUCCAUAGGACAGUGAAAGACCCUUGCCUAAGGGAACAAAAUGAGUCAGGGGCAGAGCUGGAAACCAGACCCCAGACUCCUGACUCCCAGCCCAGGAUUCCUGCUUAAGCCCAGAAGGAGGACCUCAGAACCUGGGGAGGGGAGAGGUUUGGAGCAACUGUUACCGAGAGCACUUCAUGCAUAGAAAAGCUUUCUAGCACGGGGAGCUCCCCUAGUCUGGGAUAGGCUGGGAAACAUUAGUGUCCCAGAAUAACUUCAGAAAUUCAAGGGUGCCCUAGUCUAAAGAUAGAUAGAUUUACUUUUAUAUGCAUAGCUCAGGCCCCUUCUCUGGUACCCAUUGUUUUCUCCCAGGUGAAAAAAUGAAAACAAAACAAAACUAGAAAAGCCACAUGGCAGAACAGUGGGAGGAACAAAAGAGCAGAAGGGAGCCAAAUAGGCAUUCAGUCAUAAUGGCAGGAGAAGAAGGGGAAGGUCAUUAAGGAGCCAGUAUGACAGACUCCUGAAAAUGGGGACAAGGAAAGCUCCAGGGAGCCUAGCUGGGGGCCUUGCUUCGAGGUCUAAGAUUCUAUGAUAACCAUCAGCACAUAUCAACACCCCUUUCCUCCUCUUCACCAUCACACCAUCACCAUCACCAUCACCACCAUUCUUCAUGACCCAGGACAUGGUAGUAAGCUCUCCCAUGUCUACAGCCCUCAUCCCAUCACCAUCCCAAUGCCACAGAGCCCUGUAAGCUGCAACUGCCAAGGUAGACGGUGCAGAUGAAAUCUCCAGCAUGCUGUGGAGGGAAGAGAAGGAGUUAGAGAAGGUGAAAGAGGAAAAAAAGGGACAGAAGCCCCCCCUGGAGAACACUCCUCUGGCGACUUCUUUCUACCCUCUGAAACAUAUAUGGAGCAAUGAAAGGCUGAGGACAGGGUAGUGUAUAGGACACAGCACUGGACUGAGCUGAAAGUCAUCUCUCCCACAUCAGAACUUCCUCAAGCCUUUCUUUCGGUCCUCUGCUGGCCGUUCUAUGAAUCGCCAGCACUUUAGCACAAUGUCCAGCAAAAAGAAUUUAAUAGAAGUCUGUAGAUAGACUCACUGAACCUUCUUACCCUCUACUGUGGUCCCAGUUACAUCCCAUUUGCACAUGCCUUGAUUGCCCCCCUCAUUAGGUCCCUGAGGACAGCCUUUAUGUCAUUUUUCAUCGUUCUAGCUCUAAAAUCUAUGCCCUGAUAACCCCUAGGACUCUUCCCAUAGGUCUCAUCCCCUGAACUAUCCCUCUAUGGGAAUUGCCUUCUCCUGGGAGAGGUCUGAAUGGGUUGAGCAUGUAGAGUCGAGGGGAAAAAUUAUAAAGUCGAGCAAAGGGAGAUGCUAGUCAACGUGAGGGGAAACAGGGGCCU